rnacentral:rRNA from 1 species
AAGGGUGCGUAGGCGGCCUGAUAAGUCAGAUGUGAAAGGCGGAGGCUCAACCUCCGUUAGCAUCUGAAACUGUCAGGCUUGAGUGAAGGAGAGGAAAGUGGAAUUCCUAGUGUAGCGGUGAAAUGCGUAGAUAUUAGGAGGAAUACCGGUGGCGAAGGCGACUUUCUGGACUUAAACUGACGCUGANGCACGAAAGUGUGGGGGAGCAANCAGGAUUAGAUACCCUGGUAGUCCACACCGUAAAC